UUUCCGUAGGUGAACCUGCGGAAGGAUCAUUAUUGGAUCUUGAAACUUCAGGCUGCUGCUGGCUCUCCUCGGAGGGCAUGUGCACGCUUGUUGUCCAUUAUUUCUCCCACUGUGCACAAAUUGUAGACCUUUCAGUAGGCCUAUGUUGUUUUUCACAAUCUCUGAAUGUAAUAGAAUGGUUUUGAAUCUUGGGAAAUACAAUACAACUUUCAGCAACGGAUCUCUUGGCUCUC
rnacentral:misc_RNA from 1 species